AUUGAACGCUGGCGGCAGGCUUAACACAUGCAAGUCGAGCGGAGCGAGGGUGCUUGCACCUUAGUUUAGCGGCGGACGGGUGAGUAAUGCUUAGGAAUCUGCCUAUUAGUGGGGGACAACAUUCCGAAAGGAAUGCUAAUACCGCAUACGCCCUACGAGGGAAAGCAGGGGAUCUUCGGACCUUGCGCUAAUAGAUGAGCGUAAUUCGGAUUAGCUAGUUGGUGGGGUAAAGGCCUACCAAGGCGACGAUCUGUAGAGGGUCUGAGAGGAUGAUCCGCCACACUGGGACUGAGACACGGCCCAGACUCCUACGGGAGGCAGCAGUGGGGAAUAUUGGACAAUGGGCGGAAGCCUGAUCCAGCCAUGCCGCGUGUGUGAAGAAGGCCUUUUGGUUGUAAAGCACUUUAAGCGAGGAGGAGGCUCUUAAGGUUAAUACCCUUGAUGAGUGGACGUUACUCGCAGAAUAAGCACCGGCUAACUCUGUGCCAGCAGCCGCCGCCGUAAGAC
rnacentral:rRNA from 1 species